GAUGAACGCUGGCGGCGUGCCUAAUACAUGCAAGUCGAGCGAACAGACGAGGAGCUUGCUCCUCUGACGUUAGCGGCGGACGGGUGAGUAACACGUGGAUAACCUACCUAUAAGACUGGGAUAACUUCGGGAAACCGGAGCUAAUACCGGAUAAUAUAUUCAACCGCAUGGUUCAAUAGUGAAAGACGGUUUUGCUGUCACUUAUAGAUGGAUCCGCGCCGCAUUAGCUAGUUGGUAAGGUAACGGCCUACCAAGGCAACGAUGCGUAGCCGACCUGAGAGGGUGAUCGGCCACACUGGAACUGAGACACGGUCCAGACUCCUACGGGAGGCAGCAGUAGGGAAUCUUCCGCAAUGGGCGAAAGCCUGACGGAGCAACGCCGCGUGAGUGAUGAAGGUCUUCGGAUCGUAAAACUCUGUUAUUAGGGAAGAACAAAUGUGUAAGUAACUAUGCACGUCUUGACGGUACCUAAUCAGAAAGCCACGGCUAACUACGUG
rnacentral:rRNA from 1 species